CGUAAUAUAGAGUAGUUUAUUACAUAAGUGAUUUAUCGCAUGCACCUUCAUGUAUAAGGAGCAAAACUUGUUUAAAAUAAAUCCAACCGAGAGGAUAAUCUCUAUGGGCAAAAUGUACUCCGGCUUAAUUUCUCUACUGGGUAUUACACACUAUAUAAUUGCCUUAAACAGAAGCUGCACACACAAAUUUAGCUUGGCACCGGUAUCUGGCUUCACAGAACACUCAAGUUACAUGCUGGGUUUUGCUACAAAUCCUUCACUCCACCAGCAGAAACUCCACAGCAUCCCUUAAAGAAAUAGUCAGCUUGACUCCCCUGCUGAGAAGGGGGGGUGUGGGAGGGCGCGGCUGAUUGUGGGCUGCAUUCCUGUGUCUUUGUCGUGUCUCACCAGCCUGGGUUGGGGACCCCAGCUUCACUCCUCAUUUGGACAUGUGUGCAGUGACGGAAAGUGGUGCUUCCUGGCUGACAUGGGAGGUGGGGUACAUGCUUCAUUAAAGUUGAUAGCGGCCUGUCCUUCCUCCUCCUAACAGUGAACCACAAACCCCAGCCCUUAUAGGGGUGACAGGGGGACGGGCGGGAUGGGCAUUAAUUAAAUAAUCACACGUGUCAGUGCGCAGUGCAACUGGUGACAGUGCCAUGGGAACUCUGAGAGCCUCUGCAGGGGUGGGAGAAGAACUCCGCAAGGGAGAGGCUUUUAGGGGGUGUAUGAGCUCCCUACGGCUGCUGUAACAGAUUACCCAGGUUUGGCAGCUUCAAACUACAAACUUAUUUUCUUAUAGUUCUGGGGUUCAGAAGUCUGGAACGGUCUCGCUGGGCUAAAGUCAAAGUGUCGGCAGGGCUGUGUUCCCUCGUGGGAGCUCCGGAGAGGGAUUCAUCUCCCUGUCUCUUCCCGCUUCCUCGGCUCACGGCCCCUCCCUCCAUCUUCAAAGAGGACACCAUCAGGUCGCAAGUUCUUCAUCCCGCCGUCUCUCGUCAUGACUCGGUGGCCUCCUUGCGUCUCAUGUAAGGAAACCUGUCAUUACAGUGGAACCAUCUGGAUAAUCCAGGAGACCCUCCCCAUUUCAAGGUCUGCUGAGGAGCCACUUUAAUUCCAUCUGCAGCGUCAACUCCCCGUUUGCUAUGGGAGCAGACACAUCCACAGGGUGUGUGUGUGGGGGGGGGGCGGUCAGGAGGUGGGCAUCUUCGGAGCCAUUAUUCUAGUACAGACGGGAUCCAGAGAGCGAGAAGGAGGAAGAAGAAUAUUCCAGGCAGAGGCAGAACCCUGUGAAGCAGGUGUUGGUGGCGGGCUGUGUGGACGCAGAUGGGGAAUGGAGAAAAGAGGGUGAGGGGCCUGAGGCUUACAGGGGGCUGGAGACGGGAGCAGGAUCAAGCCCUGGAGGACCUGGCUGGCCCAUGAAGGAUUCCAGGCUUCAUGCUCAAAGCACAAAGAAGUCCUUUAAAUAUUCUGUCAGGGGAUAAGAUAUGGUGUUGGACUGAAGCUGAGAUCGUAAAGGGCCUUGUUUUUCCACUAAGGGAAAAAAGUAUGCCAAUUAAACUUCGGCGUAAUAUGCUCUUAUUCUUUAGACUUUUCUCUUUAUACUUCUUUUAUCUGAAAGAAGCCUUGGAGAUUGAAUUCGACCUCUAUUUUUGUUACAGACAACUCUUUGGCAUACAUUGAAAAUCUAAGACGAGGAAAACAAUGAUACGGCAUUCCUAAAAUUUCUUCCCAUGAAGCAUCUCUCUCCUGCAUAGCAGUUUAACUCUGAGUCAUCGAAGCUCAUAUUUCUCCAUGCACUCGCAUCUUCUGUGCCAUCGAAAGCCUGGGUGAUGCAGCCUUUUUGAAAAGCAUCUAUUUUAAAAAAGGAGAAGCACUGGCGCCGGGCUCUCAAGCUGGCUCUCCAAUUAUGCUGAGUGAAUCUGCGUCUGCUUUUUCCACUUCCAGAAUGUGGCUCAACCCGCUUGCCCCUCCACCCAGUGGCCCGCUGGUUCCUAGAGCGGUGAGGACUCCAGCAUCAUCCAGGAUUUCCUCUGAUGCUGGUGACAUGGACCCUGGCAGAUUUGUUUACCGGCACUUUGGGUCUUUUUUCACGCAGAAGCAAUGGCAAAGCAUCACUGCUGGCCACCUACGGGGGCCUUGGCGACAUGCUCAGAUUUCGGGGUCAGCGGGGGCUAAGAGAGAAUAAUUUCAGACAUACACCCUAAGGUCAAAGAUCAGACUGGUGCUUUCAAACGGCCCUGCAACUCAAGCAAGACUUGUCCCUGCAUUUCAAGGGAGAGGUGGACAACCAUUUAUUAACUACAAUUAAGGAGCCCUUCAGGGAGGCUGAGCCCUGUGCUCGGCACCUUCCUGCCCCAUCGAGUCAUCUAAUCCUUACUGCAAAUUAGGUAAUCUAAUCCUUACUGGGGGAAGGAGUUAUUAUUCUUGUACCCAUUGUAUGCACGAAGGAAGUGAGGCUUAACUAAUAAACUAACUCGUGUAGUGGAGCCAAGAUUUGAGCUCAAAAUGAUGCUGGGUUAACCAGCAUGCUUCACCACCUCCAUUUCUAUAUUUCCAUCCCAAUCCCUCAUUGGAAAAGUCUUUAUAAGCACGAGUGUCUCGGAGCCCAUUCCAUAAACACGUGUGCAGACCUUUUGUGCGGGCAGCGGGCUCUGCUCAGGACCCGAGGACAAAGCAUGAAAACCCACAGACCCUCAAUGGAGAAGGCAGAGGGGUUGCCAGCCUGAGGGAGGAGAAAAGGAGAACGGACGUGCGUUUCCACACGGCGUGGGGCACAAGCGCAAGACAAAAAUGUCCUGUCUUACGCACAUUGUGCAAUUUUUAAAAAAGAAUUUUGGAGGUUAAACGUUAGGCUGCAAAACAUGCAGAAAUUCCCAGGAAGGUGGCAUGAAAUCUGCGUAGAAAAUCUAUUCCGGGUUCCACCCGGUGCCCAGUUGACCUGACCGCUGGGCUCCUCCCUCAAGCCAGCCUGAAUAUUUCCUUCUAGGGGAACAAAGACAGAAAAGGGUCUAGGAGGGCUGGGAAGGCAAGAAGUAAAUACCUGUACAAACCCACCCGACCUCAGGCAUAGUGGGGUGAGCAGGAGCACAAGUCCAUUUCACAGGCACCAGUAUACACACAGGCUGUUCCUCAGGUGAAGCCCAGAAAGAACAAAGGACCAUAAAAGAGUAAAAAUAAACUAAAAAUCUGGAAUUAGGAGGUCGGAGCCCAUAUGGACACAGAGAUAAUAGGGAACCUCUCUCUUAAAAAAUUCUGUCGCAGGUACCAGGAUGAAAAUGAGAACAAAAUCGAGCCAUACAUCUCCCAGGUGAACUAAACACAAAAGGCACUUUUUCUCCUGAACUGAUCCUGGGGCGCUUUUCAGGAGAUGACCGCAUAACCAUCAACUUUCUUGCUUAGGAGCAUUCGCUUUGGAAUCCUUGAAAAUUCCACUUCGGUUUGGUUUGGGGUCUCUUGGUGAAGGAAGCAGGGAUAGGGAUCCUUCUUUGCCUCUCUCCCCGGAAGAAAGCACGGCCCCCCCAGCCCCGCCACCCACACAAACCCCUUGAACAUAUGUCUGUGCUGAGAAGCGGAAGAUUGGAGAAACAGAUGGCAUAAUGACUUCAGAAUCCGACAGCCAGCUUCGUGGCGGUGCUGUCGGCAGGCAGGACUUGCCAGGGACGCACAUCCGAGCGAGGGGCUGCCAAGGAGAACAGACCCACGCCUCGCCCUCCCAUCCGCGUGAGAUGCUGGUGUUUGAAAACAAGCAAGACGCGUUUUGCAGGAGCAGCAAGUGACGAUGCCGCUCUGCAGCAUUUAGGGCGCAUAUGUUGCAGACGGGGAAAUAUUUUGCAAGCAGUGGCUCUAUAAACAGUGCCUACUUUGGGUGUUUUCCAUACCGGGCAGGUGGGGAGCAGAAAGGGAACAGCCUGGAGAACUGCAGAGCAACCUGUUUUCAUGGGCUGUUUACUUUCUUUGACUGUACCUGUCGGUCCGUUUCAGCUUGGUUCACGUUUGGGGAUUGUGAAACACAUGGGAAUCUCCCUGAAUCAACACAAUCUCAAUUCUAAUUCAACUAGCGCCGUCCACGGCUGCCAGCACUCAAGUGUCCCUCCUUCCACAAUCCUUAGAGAGAAUGGGCAGGUGUGGGGAGAGGCAAAAAGAGAACCUGAAGCUGCUAACUACGGAUCCCGACCGGUGAGUCUGGUCGGUCCCCUGAUACGCACCUAACACUGGCAUCGGGUCACUGCAGACUCAGCAGGGUUACAGGUGGGGCAGUUGGGGGUCAAGGGUAAUCAAAAAUCGGGAUAACGUUAACAGGACUUGGAAGAGGUGAGCCUGGCCUUGGAGUAGAACUCCGCCGUGGGCCUUUCUGCUUCAUUCUUCUGCUUGGCCCUUUCUACGAAGGGAGAAAGAACAUACACCUGCUACCCAAACCGUAAGGCAAGAUGUGCCUUUUAGGAAACCAUCAGCUGCUAAGGGGUCUAUUGUAUUAUCAGCAAAUGUCCCUGUCAAGGUGACCUUAUCUAUCCACAACUCUUCAGCGUUUCCAGAUGGAGACUGAUUUAAAGAGAGUUUUCUAUCUUAAAAAAAAAAAAAAAAAAAAAA
rnacentral:lncRNA from 1 species